rnacentral:rRNA from 1 species
CAGUCGCCGCGGUAAAACGUAGGUCCCGAGCGUUGUCCGGAUUUAUUGGGCGUAAAGCGAGCGCAGGCGGUUAGAUAAGUCUGAAGUUAAAGGCUGUGGCUUAACCAUAGUACGCUUUGGAAACUGUUUAACUUGAGUGCAAGAGGGGAGAGUGGAAUUCCAUGUGUAGCGGUGAAAUGCGUAGAUAUAUGGAGGAACACCGGUGGCGAAAGCGGCUCUCUGGCUUGUAACUGACGCUGAGGCUCGAAAGCGUGGGGAGCAAACAGGAUUAGAUACCCCGGUAGUCCCUGUCUCUUAUACC